rnacentral:lncRNA from 1 species
CCUUUUCUUGAGCUGCUCUUUUUUCCAUUAGAUGUACUGAAACAUUAAAUUACAAAACUAAAUAUAAAACAUAAAUAUAACUUGAUAAUUAUGUAUUCUAGUCAAUUUUACUAAAAUAAAUAUAUGUCAUAUAAUAUAUACUAGCCCAAAGCUGAAAUAAAUAGAACAUAUUCUCUCCCAACUAUACCCAAUAAAUAGUUUAUGGUACAACAUAGUCAGUUUAAAAAAAAUAAAAUAAAAAGUACCAUGAAGGUAGAUGCACAGUAAAUAUCUAUUGAUUAUCUUCACAGUUAUACUUUAAUGUCCUAUGAAUCACAUUAACUAAAUCAUAAAUUAUCUUUCAUGUAUCCACCCUCCCUAACCUUACCUUCUGGAGAGUAUGAUAUUCCUUUUAAGCAUCUCCUCCUUCCGUAUCUUCAACAGUGUCUUGAAUUCUGCAUCCUCUUUCCAGGCAAGCAUGGGCCCAAAGGCUGAGGUCUGAGCCAGGUGAGAGAACCCAGGAACCUGGGCACAGAGAGAUCUAUAACUUACUCACAGGCUACAGUGAGAGGCAGCAUGUUGGGGAAGAACCAAACCAAAACCCAGGCAGACCAUCCAUCUGAUUAUCCAAAGCGACCGGGCAUGGAGACCAAACAUCCAAGUAAAGCCAACAGAACCAAGUAAGAUCUAAGGUCCUAAGAGGCCACCGGGGAGGGACACACCUGGAAAAAUCUGCUUGUGAGAAGGCUGCUGCUGUGCAUUUCCUUAUACAGGUUCUUUAUACAGCUUUAGCCAUGGAGGAAGCCAAGAAAGUCACCAACCUCACACAGGUACUUCUCUUUCAAUAAAUGGAAGGAAAAGGGGGAAUAGGGGAAAACCUGGGAUACAUUUUUUUUUUUUUUUGCUUCUAUAUACUUCGUGGAAAAAGAUAAUGAAUGAAUCAUACACUUUUGCACGCUUUGGUUGGUGGAAAAAAACUAGACACUAUCAUAGUUCCUUUGCCAAGUUUUCCUGGUAAGUGGAAUUUCAAACAGUGUUCACAUAUGAGCUUCCUGAUGGACGUCCUGGGUAGAAUCCAGUGUGAGAAAAUGAUUGAAAGUGAUAAGGUCCCUUGAGCAAUUUGUUUUAAAGGAAUAUCUUCUGUGUGUUGGGAAGGGAAAUCAGGAGCAGCAAUGCUGGAAGGCUCUUUAUGUUAGGGCCUUCUAAUAAGGAGCCUUGGGUUGAUGAGCUUAGAAUGCUUCUUUAGAUGUCAAGCACUGCCACUGGCCACCCUGUACACUACACAGCAAUGGUAACAGCAACAGAGCUCAUAGCUACUUCACAUAUAACAGCUAGGACUCAGGAAUCCCAACACUUUGUAUAGCCAUGUUGUGGUCCCUAAUAAAUUUAGGCAUUUCUUCAGCUUCCAAAUCAUUUCCUCAAGGUCAUCAGGAGGAAAGUUAUAGAGAAGGGAGAUGUUCCUUCAAUUUCUUUUGGACAGAGUAGAACAAUUUUGGCUUAUUGUUUAAAUAAUUAAUUCCCCAUCAUUUUCCAAUGAGACUUUCAUUUCAUUAAAAGUAGUAAUGGUUGACAAUCUAUUACUAUCCCUUAUGCCCUGAGUUAUUAUUGCUACAUUUUGCCAAGGAGUAUAAAAAAAAUACACACUGCCAUAGAUCAUCAACUCAAAGCAACCCACUCAAGAAUUUUAUUAUCCAAAAAAAAAAAGAAUUUUAUUACCCAAUGGAAUAUUCUAUGAGAGCUGUAUUUCCCUUCUUGGGCAAUCUAAUAUGUUGCACGUGUCCAGAAGAGGGAAAUUAGCAUGUUGUUCCAAGUCCAUCUCCAUCACUAUUAUUUGAAGUAAUCUCCUGGACCAAAUAGAAUUCUUAAAGCUCCUUCAAGGCAGAGGAGAGAAAACAUCUUUUCUAUGAGGUCCUGCUAGACUCUGCUAGAUAGGGCAUUCAAUAGAGAACCUUGCAUGAGCAAAGAAUACAUAAAUUUAAUUAUUUAGGGUAGUGAAGCUAGGAGAGGAGAAAAGAUGCUCACAUCCUCUUAUGGGCACAUCAAAAUUACAACUAUUUACAGAAUAACUAUCAGUGAAAAAGACUGGAACCUACCAGAAAAGAUCUACAAGUAAAGAUAUGAAGAAGGAACCAUGAGUUGGGUAAGAGCGGCGUAGUCACAGUACAGUCAAAACCCAUAGCCCCAGGUGGAGGACCCACAAACAGGAGAAUAAUUACAAUUGCAGGUGUUCUGCCCAAAGAGCAAGGGAGCUGAGCCCCACAUCACGUUCCCUAGCUGAGGAUUUCGCACUGGGAAGACAAGACCCCAGAAUGUUAGGCUUUGAAGGCCAGUGGGGUUUAUUUCUGGAGACCCAGAGGACUGGGAAAUAGACACUCCAGCCUUAAAGGGCACACAGAAAGUCACACAUACUCCAGGGCCCAGGGCAGUAAUUUGAAAGGAGUGUCUCAGAGAGGCAGGAGGCAAUUGGAGCCCACCCUGGGGAAACAAACAUUGUUAUCAGCCAUUUAGGGGAGCUCAUUCUACCAUGUGGACACUGGUUCUAGCCAGGGCCAUUUUGGAAUAUUCCUUCUAGCUUAUUAGCCUCUGGACCCAGCCCUACUCUGGCCCAUCAGCCGGUAGGUACCAGAACUGUGAUGCCACAGGUCAAGCAAUUAACUGGGCAGGGACACACCCUCAGCCACCAGCAGAUAGGCUGUCUUAAGACCCCCUGAGCUCGUAGUUGCUCCUGGACACAACUCUGCCCACCAGAGAGGGCCCAGGAUAUGGCCCCCACAUACCACUGUUAAGGCACUAAGAUCUGGGUUCCCCAGGGCCCUGUAGCCGCAGACACUGGAACCCAGUUCCACCCACCGGUGGGCAGGCACCAACCCCAGAAUCCCCUGCCCACCACUGAGCCUGCUCUAGCUUCAGGAGCUGACUCACACACCAGCAGGUGGACACAGCCCAAGGACAACCUCGGCCCCAGGACAACCUCAGCCCCACAGCCUGCCAUCGCAGGACCUACUUCACCAUCAGCAAAACAACACAAGUCACAACGGGCUGUGUCAGGAAAUGCCUUCACCCACUGGUGGGUGGGCACUAGCUCCUGGAUCCCUUGGACCCCAACUCUGCCCACCAGAGUAAAGUCCUGUCAAAAUCCACUUGAUCUUGGAGUUCCUACUGUGGCUCUGUGGGUUAAGAAUCUGACUGCAGUGGCUCAAGUAGCUGCAGAGGCGCCAGUUCAAGCCCCAGCCUGAAGCAGUGGAUUAAAGGAUCCAGCCUUGCCACAGAUGUGGUAUAGGUCACAGCUGCAACUCAGAAUCAAUAUCUGGCCCUGGGAAAUUCCAUAUGCUGUGGAUGCAGCCUUUAAAAAACAAACAAACAAACAAACAAAAAUCCACAUGAUCUUGGAAGCGGACCUUUCACCAGUAAAGCUAUCAGAUGAGAAACUAACCCUGGAGGACACCUUGACUGAAAAUUCAUGAGAGACCCUGACAGAGGGGACCCACUAAUCUGUGCCCAGAUUCAUGACUCACAGAAAUUGUGAGAUAAUGUGUAUUGUUUUAAGAUGCUAAGUUUGUGGUAAUGUGUUAUGCAUCAAUAGAUAAGUAAUACAAAUGUAAUGGUUAUUUAUAUAAAAUAACAAAGAAGAAAAGAGAAACUUUUGGGCAGCUAAGCAAUUUCAAUUUUUUUUGUUUUUGUUUUUUUUUGUGGGGAUUUUUCUUAUUUUUCAUUUUUUUUGCUUUUUAGGGCUGCACCUGCAGCAUAUGGAUGUUCCCAGGCUACAGAGCUACAGCUGCUGGCCUAUGCCACAGCCACAGCAAUGCCAGCUUUGAGCCACGUCUGUGAUCUACACCACAGCUCACAGCAGUGCGGGAUCCUUAACCCAUUGAGUGGGGCCAGUAUCCAACCCACAUUCUCAUGAAUACUAGCUGAGUUUGUUAUGCUGAACCAUAACGGGAAAUCCUCAGUUUUUUUUGGAUGGUAGAUAUGACAUUGGAAAAGUGAACAGAACAAAUUAAUGGGUCAGCCAAAUACUGUUCUUUAGAUAAAAUUAACAUGCCAGCCAGCAAUUGUGGGAGCUUCCCCAAAUCCUGUAGCUAUACACAUUUGGACUCAAAGAUCCUAGAAAGAAGUUCUG